rnacentral:lncRNA from 1 species
AAAGGCUCACGAUGAAAGCUGUAGGAACAAGUCUUCCGCUUCACAUCUGGAACUGUUGCCAUCUCUAUCAGUGAACCGAACUCCUGAAUGAACCUGAGAAAUGAUAUGUAUGCAGAGAUUAGCUUUUUUUCUUUCUUUUUCUUUUUCAUUUUUUUCAAUUCUUUUUUAUUGUGUAUCUUUUGAAAAUAAACAUGCUAUGAUGCAAAUG